rnacentral:piRNA from 1 species
GCACAAUGUGAUCCACCGUCAAG